rnacentral:rRNA from 1 species
GGGUGCGAUCAUACCAACGUUAAUGCACCAGAUCCCAUCAGAACUCCAUAGUUAAGUGCGCUUCGGCUAGAGUAGUACUGGGAUGGGUGACCUCCCGGGAAGUCCUAGUGUUGCACCGU